rnacentral:rRNA from 1 species
GUGGGGAAUAUUGGACAAUGGGCGCAAGCCUGAUCCAGCCAUGCCGCGUGUGUGAAGAAGGCCUUCGGGUUGUAAAGCACUUUUGUCCGGGAAGAAAUCUUCCAGGUUAAUACCCUGGGAGGCUGACGGUACCGGAAGAAUAAGCACCGGCUAACUUCGUGCCAGCAGCCGCGGUAAUACGAAGGGUGCAAGCGUUACUCGGAAUUACUGGGCGUAAAGCGUGCGUAGGUGGUUCGUUAAGUCUGCCGUGAAAGCCCCGGGCUCAACCUGGGAAUGGCGGUGGAUACUGGCGGGCUAGAGUGCGGUAGAGGGUGGUGGAAUUCCCGGUGUAGCAGUGAAAUGCGUAGAGAUCGGGAGGAACAUCUGUGGCGAAGGCGGCCACCUGGACCAGCACUGACACUGAGGCACGAAAGCGUGGGGAGCAAACAGGAUUAGAUACCCCAGUAGUCC